rnacentral:rRNA from 1 species
CCUACGGGUGGCUGCAGUGAGGAAUAUUGGUCAAUGGGCGGGAGCCUGAACCAGCCAAGUCGCGUGCGGGAUGACGGCCCUAUGGGUUGUAAACCUCUUUUGUCGGGGCGCAAAGUGCCGCCCGUGUGCGGUUUGGAGAGUACCCGGAGAACAAGCAUCGGCUAACUCCGUGCAAGCAGCCGCGGUAAUACGGAGGAUGCGAGCGUUAUCCGGAUUUAUUGGUGUGCAAGGGUGCGUAGGCGGAGGCUUAAGUCAGCGGUAAAAUUGCGGGGCUCAACCUCGUCGAGCCGUUGAAACUGGGUGCCUUGAGUGGGCGAGAAGUACGCGGAAUGCGGGGUGUAGCGGUGAAAUGCAUAGAUAUCACGCAGAACUCCGAUUGCGAAGGCAGCGUACCGGCGCCCAACUGACGCUGAAGCACGAAGGCGGGGGUAUCGAACAGGAUUAGAUACCCUAGUAGUC